CAGGGGAUGAGGGACGUUGGGUGGAGAUGUGAGUUACUGGACAGUUGGUUGAUUGUCAGACAGGAUCUGAGACCGGUGGGCACUGGGGUCCCAGGGAGAGGGCUUAACCUGGGGGCUCCGACGGGGUGGGAACAUUGGGGCUGCACCACCCGAGGCUCCAACCAGGGACAUGGUUGGGGACUGCAGGUCCAGAACAAAGGGGCCACCUCUGAGGUCACAGAGAAGCCAGGAGAGCCUGGCCUGGCCUUGGGCCCGUGGCCUUUCUGGGGACACCAGCACCCGGAGCUGAGCAGGGCUGGACUGAUGGGGAGCCUGAAGGGCCUGAUGGGGAACGCCCGCCCCGGGCUGUCAACCUGUGCCAGCUGUGCCUUUAGGUCCUGAGUUCGCACAGGGCAUUCAUUCUCAGCAACCCGCAAGACGACCCUCAAGCUGCCCUCCUGAAGCCACACCCACUCCCAGGAGGCAGGGGAGGGCACCCCUGUUCCCGAGUGUCCUCAGGAGGCCCCGCUGAUGGCAGAGUUGAAGAACAAUGGGAGAUUUACCCUUGAGAAGGCCCAACGAUCCCCUUUCUCAGGGAAGUGCUCCAGGACCCCGACUCUCAGGCAGGCCUGCCUCACCCCUACACGGACUCCCUCCACUGA